rnacentral:rRNA from 5 species
UUAAAUUGAAGAGUUUGAUCAUGGCUCAGAUUGAACGCUGGCGGCAGGCCUAACACAUGCAAGUCGAACGGUAACAGGAAGCAGCUUGCUGCUUCGCUGACGAGUGGCGGACGGGUGAGUAAUGUCUGGGAAACUGCCUGAUGGAGGGGGAUAACUACUGGAAACGGUGGCUAAUACCGCAUAACGUCGCAAGACCAAAGAGGGGGACCUUCGGGCCUCUUGCC